rnacentral:rRNA from 1 species
UGGGGAAUUUUGGACAAUGGGCGAAAGCCUGAUCCAGCAAUGCCGCGUGUGUGAAGAAGGCCUUCGGGUUGUAAAGCACUUUUGUCCGGAAAGAAAUCCUUGGCUCUAAUACAGUCGGGGGAUGACGGUACCGGAAGAAUAAGCACCGGCUAACUACGUGCCAGCAGCCGCGGUAAUACGUAGGGUGCAAGCGUUAAUCGGAAUUACUGGGCGUAAAGCGUGCGCAGGCGGUUUGCUAAGACCGAUNUGAAAUCCCCGGGCUCAACCUGGGAACUGCAUUGGUGACUGGCAGGCUAGAGUAUGGCAGAGGGGGGUAGAAUUCCACGUGUAGCAGUGAAAUGCGUAGAGAUGUGGAGGAAUACCGAUGGCGAAGGCAGCCCCUGGGCCAAUACUGACGCUCAUGCACGAAAGCGUGGGGGAGCAAACAGGAUUAGAUACCCCUGGUAGUCCACGCCCUAAACGAUGUCAACUAGUUGUUGGGGAUUCAUUUCCUUAGUAACUAGCUAACGCGUGAAGUUGACCGCCUGGGGAGUA